rnacentral:lncRNA from 10 species
AUGACUGUACAUCGAGUACCUGGUGUUAGUGGCUUUCAUAAUGUAACAGGUGUUUAGAGACACCAUGAAGGGAUAGCUCAAUGUUUUUAAUAAAUUUUUUAAGUUAACUUGAAUCAAUUUUGUCAGAGCCAUUCUAGCCUUCUGAGCCAUAAACAGGAGUUCUGCAUUAGAAACUUGAAGGCCACUACCUGUUCUGUUGAAGCUGAUAUUAGAACAAGUGGUCUUUAUUCCAACACCUGUUCGUCUCUCAAUUCUAAGAGCCAUGCACCUGCUAGGAUUAUUGAAGAAGUUGGAAAUACAGAAAAAUAUACAGUGAAAUAUUUAAAUAAUUAGGAAGAUUAUAAACCAAAGUUAAGUGCUUCUAUUUAAUUUUUUAAAUGUACACAUGCCUAUCUAUCCAUAUGUAGCUAUAUAUUUAAAUACUUUGAAUCAAAUUCUUAGUCUUAUUUUACUUAAAUUAUACAUGCACAUUUUGCAGUUAUUAAAAUUACUUAAAUAUACUUUUAAUUAUUAUACCGUAUAUACUCUUAUUUAUGUAAAUAUUUUUACUUUUUUUUUUUUUUUUUUAUAGAGACAAGUUUUACUAUGUUGCCCAGGCUGGCCUCAAACUCCUGGGCUCCAAUGAUCCUCCCACCUCAGCCUCCUGAGUAGCUGGGACUACAGGAAUACACAACCAUGCCCAGCUUAAUUAAUACUUUAAAUGUUUAACGUAUAUAAUUUGAUGAUAAAAAAUACAGACUUAGAGUCUACGAACAUGUAACAUUAUUAUAGACCUAGUAGGAGUUCCUGUUUGCUAUGCUACAUUACUUUUUGUAAGAUAUGUAAAGGCAUAUAAAUAUAUUUUACAAAUGGUAGGGCCAAAACUAGGGUGAGGUAAGCAAGGUGUCUCAGGCACAAAAUUUCAGGAGGUCCUCACUCUCCAUUGCAAAUGCUGACCCUGACCUUCCAUGAACCUGAGAGUGAAUGUUUCAUAAAAAUUUGCACCAGGUGCCUUGUUUGCCUCACCCUAGUCCUGACCCUGACAAAUGAUAAUCCUAAGUUUUUGAGUAUCCUAAAAAUAUACUGUUUAAGAUGUGUUAUUAUAGUCAAUAUAUUCUGUUCCUAAAAUCUAAGCACUAAAUUAACAGUUUGAAGGCAUUCUUUGUAAAUAAUUAUUUCGCAUUUGAAAAUAAUUUAGGAUAUUUAAAUUAUUUUUAAGAUAAUUUAAAAAUUUUAAGAUAUUUCUGUGUAUCUUAUUUUAACCUGUAGGGGUAGAACAGUUUCUUCUACAUUUUGGCACUGAUUCUACCAAGUGUGUUCUUAAUUUUAGGUCCUUCUGCUUGCACCCUCAAUACUGUAACCAUUAGACAAAUGUCUUAGGUAGAAUGAUCAACACUCAUUACCUUUACUUCUUAAUCUGCCGCUAAUUUCUAAAUGUGAGUAAUAUCCAGUUCUCAAAACCAACAUAAAAUGUGCUGUCUUGUCUUUACCUUUCCUCUCUGCAACACUGGGCUGUUUGAUGGUACCUCUUGCAAUCCCAUUCUUCUUGCCUGGCUUCUUUCUCUAAGGCAGUUCCAUCAAGACUGUCUUUGUAUCGCGAAGCCCACAUCCUCUUAGUUUUUUGUUUGCUUGUUUGCUUUCCUAUUUUGUUUAUUUUGUGUUCAUUUCUUUUGCUUUUCUUGUAGCAGCAAUAGACAUAGAGUGAUAUUUGAAAUUGUGAAGUGGUAUAUUGAAAGGUUUUUUUGUGUGUGUGUGGGAGAAAUACUUGGUAGUGAAAAGUGGAAAAAGUAAAGAAAAACUAGAUGAACUAAGAUUACAGAAAAAUCUUUGGGAGGCCGAGGUGGGCGGAUUAUGAGGUCAGGAGAUCAAGACCAUCCUGGCUAACACGGUGAAUCCCCAUCUCUACUAAAAAUAAAAAUAAAAAUAAAAAUAAAUUAGCCAGGUGUGGUGGCAUUCGCCUGUAGUCCCAGCAGGAGAAUGGUGUGAACCAGGGAGGCGGAGUUUGCAGUGAGCCAAGAUCACACCACUGCACUCCAGCCUGGGCGACAGAGCGAGACUCCAUCUCAGAAAGAAAAAAAGAAAAAGAAAAAAAAAAAGGUUACAGAAAAUAAGGAAUUACAGGAUAAGAAGUGGAUUUGGCAAAAGAAGUUCAGUUUGGGUGCAAGGACAGGUUGGAAUUCUGGGGACCUAGAUUUAAUGGCUGGGUAGAAAAUGGAAAUCCCGAAACUGAGAAACUCCUGGUUGUUGAUAACAGCUUAUGAGUACAGGGAAAAUGGAUAUUUCACUUGACAUAUAUGAAUCACUGGGUUUCUGACCUUUGAGAUUUCAAUUUCAGGGAAGGGAUAGGAGAAAGAAUCCAAUGUAAUGAUUUAAUGACAAUGUAUAACAAAAGGAAGCAUUGAAGCAUUGAAUGACAAUCUAAUAUGUCCAAGAAAUUUGGUGAUAAAGAAUUUUAACUGGAGUCUGAAUGGAAAGAAGCAUUUUGUUCAAUAAUUGUUAAAAUGUGACCAUGUUUAUAUAUCUUGUUGUAGAUAGACAUUUGACUAUGGGUGCAUCAAAAAUAAUUGAUUGAUACAGCUGAGAGUUUCCCUAAUAUUGCUUACUGGGCUUCUUAGGGGGUUCAAUCAGCAAUUACAUAACUUUUCUGUAGUGUUUAAAAUCAUAUAGACUUAACAUGAUGAAGAUAGGAAAUAUGAAGUCAGUGGAAU